UAUGCAAGGAUAAGCAUUUCCAGAACAGCACCGUGUGUUCAUCUGCAAACUUCACAUUUUGGCAGAAUCCAUACUAAAACCUCCAAGUGCUGACUUAAAAUAAAUUAAAUUACACUGAACCUCCCAGAGUCCACCUUGAAACAAAGUCAUGUUUACAAGCUUCUGGACGGAGGCAGCGAGUGGUGUUGAGGAUGAAUUUCACCAGAUCACGGUGCAGAUUGAAGUUACAUGUUCUGUCAUGGAGGAAAACCUUUCUAUGUCUGCCUGAGGCCACACAGAUCAGCCUGAGAUUCAUGUUGAAGUUUAAUUCAUGCUCUGAAUUGAUAAACGUCCUCUCCGCUGCACACAUCUGACAAAAGCCCAUUCCUUCAUGGCAUCAUCCAUCACGAAAUCACAGGGAUCAAUCAGCAGCUGUUUGGCCGGUGACAGAUAUAUUGGAGCGGCUUUGCUGUGUACAGAGAGUCUGUUGGAGAAGGGAUCUGUGCGGAAAGCUGUAUGUUCUCUGACUGGCUCAUGCAGGAUGUUCUGGGAAAGAGAUGGAUGGCAUUUAAAUCCACCUUUACUGGAAAACAGUCCAAGAUCUGCUUCCCAGAGUCUCCAGGAUGAAUGUUCCUCGAGUGUUUAACAGUGUUUCUCUCAUCUGUCUGCGAGCAGAUGUCCUGCUUCUAGAAUCUAAUGCACCAGUUUUGCCAGAGGUUAAAGAGGUCUGGUAAACGUGUUUCACAAAUGCAGUUCGUUGUUUUUAAUCAGUUAUGUAUGUUUUAUCACACAACUUCAGUAAAAAUCACAGAGCAAAUAACGUAAUCCUAUCUGGAUAAUCUAGUCUGUGAUUAUGUACUGUAAGUGUGUAUUUAUUUAAUCAUUUAUUUAUCUAUUUAUUUAUUUUAGUCAUUUAUUUAUUUAUUCACUUUAUUUUAGAUUAAAAUGCAGCUGUUUUUGAAAAGUAGAUUUUUGUAGAUUUUUCAGAUUCAUUUAUUUAAUCAGUUUAUUUUAGUUGUUUAUUUAAUUAGUAAGUCAAGUAUUUAUUAAUCUAAUUUAUUUAUUUAGUCAGGCAUUAAUUAAUUGAUUGAUUGAUUAAGUAAUUAAUAUAGUCACAUAUUUAUUUAGUUAGCCAUUUGUCUAUUAAUCUAUGCAUUGAGUAACUCGUUCAUUAAUUUAUUUAUUUAGUAAUGUAUUUAUCUAGUAAUUUAAUCAGUCAUUCAUUUUAUUUUUGUAUUUAGUCAUGUAUUUAUUCAGUCAUUUGUUAAUUAAUCUAUUUAUUCGCUUGUAAUUUGUAAUUUAAAUUCAUUCAUUCAUUCAUUCAUUUAUUCAGUUUGCUAGGUAAAAUAUGUAUUUCAGGUGCUGAAUAAAAUAAAAUGAAAUUAAAAUGAAGAUCAUAUGCUGCUGUUAGCCCUUCUGAUCAUCUAUAAAUACUCCAUAUUUAUUCCUUUCCUAAAAUAUUGUAAUUAUAUCAUCCACCUAAAGUGCAUUAAUAAUUAUAAAUCGAAGUUAUAAUUGUUUUUUUUUGUUAUUAUGUUUCUUUGGUGUUUUCUUCUGUUAGACAGACAUUUGCGUUCUCUCUCUGUCUCUUCUGUGAUCUGAUCUGAUGCUUCAAACCCACUAAUUGAGAACAUCAAGGAAGUAUCAUCUUUCAAGAACAAGACGAGCAUAAAAUAAAUCACACUCUUCAACAGCUCAGAGUUGUGUGAGAUCCAUCAAAGCAAGUGUUUUCCUGCCAGUUUUGUUUGUUUGUGAAUGAAUUAUUUCUGAGAAACAACUGUUUCUUAGCUUUUCACAUCAAAUAUGUUCAGAAUAGCAUGCUACUCAUAAUAUUUCAGUAUACUGUAGUAUAUAAACUAAGAAUUUAAUACCCAGAUGAGCCACUGUGUUUGGCAAAAUGUGCAUUAUAUAACAUACAGUACAAUAUAGCACUUUGGGGGAAGUCGUGGCCUAGUGGUUAGAGAGUUUGACUCCUGACCCUAAGGUUAUGGGUUCGAGUCUCGGGCCGACAAGGCACCAAACCCCCAACUGCUCCCCGGGCGCCGCAGCAUAAAUGGCUGCCCACUGCUCCGGGUGUGUGUUCACGGUGUGUGUGUUCACUGCUGUGUGUGUGCACUUUGGAUGGGUUAAAUGCAGAGCACCAAUUCUGAGUAUGGGUCACCAUACUUGGUUGUCUGUCACUUCACCUUUCACCUUCAUUGACUCGUUCUUUGAUCAGACAAGUUGAUGAAGAAAUUUCCUCUGAAUGAACUUUACACACAAGCACGUCUACAUUGAGUGAUUUCUAAAGAACCAAUUAUACAAAAAAACAAUGUCUUGUGCAACAUCAGCAAGAAACAUCUGCAGUUCAUGUAACGCUUGCUCAGGGUUUGUUUGGACAUUCAUAGUUUGAACUGUUUAACUCUUGUGUGUAUGAUUAGCAUAAACAAACAUUUUCAUUGUCAAACCUCAAUAAUACAGAUGUUAAACCUGUCAGAGGUCAAGAUCACAAUAAUCCACAAGUAAUCCACAGCACUCCAGUCCAUCAGUGAACAUCUGGAGAAGAUAAAAGCUGCAUGUUUGUAAGAAACAAAUCCAUCAUUAAGACAUUUUUAACUUCAAACAUUGCUUAUGGCUAAAAUAAUCCAUAUUAAAUCUUUCUCCAGUUAUAAAAGUGCAUCUCCUGUUGUCUCUCACAUCAAAAUCCAGACACAUAUUAGUAUGGAGCUGUUUAAACAGUGCUUGAUCUGUGCAGAUUUCUCUCCUGAUUCAGACCAGAACACUUUUUCACUGGAGGAAGCGUUAUUAUGAAUUAUGGACUCGUAUUUUAGCUGGAAGCAACAGUUUAAAGUUAAAAAAUCUUAAUAUUGAAUUUGUUUCUUACAAACAUACAGCUUUUGUCUUCUCCAGAUGUUAACUGAUGGACUGGAGUGCUGUGGAUUACUUGUGGAUUAUUGUGAUGUUUUUAUCAGCUGUUUGGACUCUCAUUCUGACGGCACCCAUUCACUGCAGAGCAUCCAUUGCUGAGACACUGAUGCAAUGCUAAAUCUUUACAAUAUAAAUCACUUGCACGUAUGGAAAAGAGCAGCUCAGACAUUCUGCCCAAUGCUUUUCACAGAAGAAAGCUUGAAUUACAUAAAGGUGAGUAAAUGAUGAUUUUCAAUGUUCAGAUGUCAACUUUCAUCUGCAUCUCUUCGUCUCUCCUAUCGUCUGCUUCAGAUGGACCGGGAUGAUUCAGGAUUUACCGAGUCUCUCUAGGAUUCCCAGUGUGUGAAAGGAAACCAUGUUAAGCUGAGACACUUUUUCCUGCGCAGAGAGGAAGUUGACCCUCUGCAGUUCUCAUCAUGGUAUGGUAAUGUGAAGAACAUACGUGAAGGAAAACAGCACUGGAUUUGCAUCGGUGCGAUAUAUAAUCAUGACAUGUAACACACAUCACGCUUAAUUCUGCUUCCAGUGAGCCUUUCCCUGUUGGAAAAUCCAGCUUAAACCCAGUUUCAAAACACAACUUGUGUAUUUCCAACAUGCUCCUUAAUGUUUACCAGCAUCCAUAUGCUUUUCUCCCAACAGCACCCUUACUGGAGCUCCAGACUGGACCUGUAAUGGAAAGCCAGUGUCGGGACGCCCCAUAUGUUCCCGGUGGACAUGAAUUCUGGGGUACGGUAGGAGGGCUGGGACAGUAAUGAAUUUAGCCUGUCAUUCCAUAGCAGCGUCCAUGACGGACUCAUUAAUACACAUCUGGGGUCAUUAUGAAUCCGACCUUUAUUAUUCCACUUCCACUUCAAAGGAACAGGCAUUUUUGAGACAUUUAUGCUAAUUUUGAGCAUGUGCCAAAACCCCCAAAAAACUCUGCCACGUGCAAUGCAACACGUUUCCAGCGGCAUCUCAUUUUUUUUGAACCUUCAGGGAAAAAAUGACAGAAUGACUACAGAAUAUAUUAAUAACCAAGGGAGUAGAAUUUAGUAGGGAUGCUAAAGACGUGUCCAUAAAAAUAUCCAGCAGCUACUAAAUUGUCCCUAGCUAUAAUUUUGAUCAAACAAUUAAAUAUAUGUAACCACUGUUGUUGUAAUUCAAGAAGUUUAAGUUAAUACACUAGAAAACUGCAUGCUUUCAAGGACGUACAUUUAAUACAUGAGCAGAGUAAGGACAUAUAAAGUAGCCAAAGUGUUUAAAACAUACGAGCACAGAUCAGCUGAAUGAUAAAGUUAACACUCUUUAACUUUGUUGUUAGACUGAAUGUGCAAAGCAAACUGAAAUAUCCACAAUAUUGUCUGCUGUUUGUCCCACCAAUGUCAAAAUCAAACCUACAUCCUUGAUAGUAGUAGUAGUAAU
ensembl:lncRNA